rnacentral:RNase_P_RNA from 1 species
UGGCGGCUUGUCGCUCGUUAACUAAUUGGUUGCGAGAGGAAAGUCCGGGCAACGCAGAGCGUCACAUUUCUUAACGGGAAGCCGCGGGUGACCGUGGGGUUAAGGUGACAGAAAAGAACCGCCGCACGUCUGUUGCGGUAAGGGUGAAAAGGCGGGGUAAGAGCCCACCGGGCGCUAUGGUGACACAGCGCGCCGCACCACCUGUGAGUUGCAAGUUCAUGUAUACCGGCAUCUAAGGGCUGCUCGUCCAUUGCCGGGGGGUAGAACGCUAUACCGGUGCAGCAAUGUACCGGACAGAUAAAUGACAAGCACCUGGCUUAACGGCAGGCACAUAACCCGGCUUAUAGCCAUACU